rnacentral:rRNA from 1 species
UACGUAGGCAGCGAGCGUUGUUCGGAGUUACUGGGCGUAAAGAGUGCGUAGGCGGUUUUCUAAGUUUGGUGUGAAAUCUCCCGGCUUAACUGGGAGGGUGCGCCGAAAACUGGAAGGCUUGAGUAUGGGAGAGGUAAGCGGAAUUCCUGGUGUAGCGGUGAAAUGCGUAGAUAUCGGGAGGAACACCUGCGGUGUAGACGGCUUACUGGACCAUAACUGACGCUGAGGCACGAAAGCGUGGGUAGCAAACAGG